AGAGUUUGAUCCUGGCUCAGGAUGAACGCUAGCUACAGGCUUAACACAUGCAAGUCGAGGGGCAGCAUGGCCUUAGCUUGCUAAGGCCGAUGGCGACCGGCGCACGGGUGAGUAACACGUAUCCAACCUGCCGUCUACUCUUGGACAGCCUUCUGAAAGGAAGAUUAAUACAAGAUGGCAUCAUGAGUCCGCAUGUUCACAUGAUUAAAGGUAUUCCGGUAGACGAUGGGGAUGCGUUCCAUUAGAUAGUAGGCGGGGUAACGGCCCACCCAGUCUUCGAUGGAUAGGGGCUCUGAGAGGAAGGUCCCCCACAUUGGAACUGAGACACGGUCCAAACUCCUACGGGAGGCAGCA
rnacentral:rRNA from 1 species